GUUGCACAUUUCCACUGCUCCUAGAAUGAGCAAAUCAGCUGUGCCAUCAUCUUUGGAAUUUGGGCAGAAAAUGACUGAAUAUGGAAGAUGAAGCCAGUUGAUGAAGAUAUCAAUUCAGUGGCUACCAAGGGCUGCACUGCUGCCUGAACCCAUCAGUUAUCAGCUGUGAAGACUGCAUUCGCAAACAGCUCUACUGUGACAGCUCAGAUGUUACAGCCCAUAAAAGUAAACUUCAGAACUGAACAACUGCAAGAUAGUUGUGGAGGGAUUCUUUUGGCCCAUACCUCCAACAACCUCCCAACAAGAAUCAAUGGUAAGUCAA